UACGUAGGGUGCGAGCGUUGUCCGGAAUUAUUGGGCGUAAAGAGCUCGUAGGCGGUGUGUCGCGUCGGUCGUGAAAACUUGGGGCUUAACCCUGAGCUUGCGGUCGAUACGGGCAUCACUGGAGUUCGGCAGGGGAGACUGGAAUUCCCGGUGUAGUGGUGGAAUGCGUAGAUAUCGGGAGGAACACCAGUGGCGAAGGCGGCUUCCUGGACCGGUUCUGACACUGAGGAGCGAAAGCGUGGGGAGCGAUCCGG
rnacentral:rRNA from 1 species